rnacentral:misc_RNA from 1 species
CGCGACGAAAGAUAGACGUGCGUUUUCGUUCUGAAUUACAAAUCGAAAUCGACCGAAAAACAAUCUGUUCAAACUAGUUCUCGAAUUACUUUUUACCGAUAAAGUAUUAUAUUUAUAAUUACUUGUGCACGUUGCCACCGAAUUAUGUGAUUACUGCUUUCGCGAGUGUUAUCUAAACGAUGGUAUGUGUACCACGUAUGUCAUUAAAGAAAACGCGUAGCUUGAAAUCGGCGAAAAUGUGACUGUUAAGUCUGAUCACAAGUUAACUUCCAGUGAUAGAAACAUGGCCCUUACGGACCUCAACAAGUAGUUACCAAUGUUUAGUAAAAUGCGGGAGUUUAUAAGGAUCACGUUAGUGUGUGCGUGCGCUUUCCUUCUGGUGCACGAUGUGAGGAGCGAGGAUAUCUCCUCCGAGGCGGCGGUGGAGUCCGAGCUGGCGAAGACCGAAGACCAGAGCGACAGGAAGGAGACUAAAACAUUUAUACCAGGUAACGUCAUCCGCGGCUCUGUGAGUUCACCGUGUAAACACAAG